ACCUACGGGGGGCAGCAGUGAGGAAUAUUGGUCAAUGGUCGGGAGACUGAACCAGCCAAGCCGCGUGAGGGAUGAAGGUACAGAGUAUCGUAAACCUCUUUUGUCAGGGAACAAAGGCGAGGACGUGUCCCCGGAUGAGUGUACCUGAAGAAAAAGCAUCGGCUAACUCCGUGCCAGCAGCCGCGGUAAUACGGAGGAUGCGAGCGUUAUCCGGAUUUAUUGGGUUUAAAGGGUGCGCAGGCGGUCUGUUAAGUCAGCGGUCAAAGCCCGGGGCUCAACCCCGGCCCGCCGUUGAAACUGGCAGU
rnacentral:rRNA from 1 species